rnacentral:tRNA from 1 species
CCUGGUGGCUCAGAGGUUAAAGCGUCUGCCUCCAGUGCAGAAGACCUGGAUUCGAUCCCUGGGUCAGGA